GGGCUGUUGGUCUAGUGGUAUGAUUCUCGCUUAGGGUUACACCCAAAGCUUAUCUGCGAGAGGUCCCGGGUUCGACUCCCGGAUAGCCCC